ACAUCACCGGCGGACGGGUGCGUAACACGUGGGAAUAUACCUUUUGGUUCGGAACAACGCAGGGAAACUUGCGCUAAUACCGAAUGUGCCCUUACGGGGAAAGAUUUAUCGCCAAAGGAUUAGCCCGCGUCCGAUUAGCUAGUUGGUGAGGUAAUGGCUCACCAAGGCUCCGAUCGGUAGCUGUUCUGAGAGGAAGAUCAGCCACACUGGGACUGAGACACGGCCCAGACUCCUACGGGAGGCAGCAGUUGGGAAUCUUGGACAAUGGGGGAAACCCUGAUCCAGCCAUGCCGCGUGAGUGAUGAAGGCCUUCGGGUUGUAAAACUCUUUCGACGGGGACGAUAAUGACGGUACCCGUAGAAGAAGCUCCGGCUAACUUCGUGCCAGCAGCCGCGGUAAUACGAAGGGGGCUAGCGUUGUUCGGAAUUACUGGGCGUAAAGCGCGCGCAGGCGGUCUUCCAAGUCAGUGGUGAAAGCCCGGAGCUCAACUCCGGAACUGCCAUUGAAACUGUAAGACUUGAGGACGAGAGAGGUGAGUGGAAUUCCCAGUGUAGAGGUGAAAUUCGUAGAUAUUGGGAAGAACACCGGUGGCGAAGGCGGCUCACUGGCUCGUUUCUGACGCUCAGGCGCGACAGCGUGAGGAUCAAACAGGA
rnacentral:rRNA from 1 species